AAACCUUUAUUUGUGCUGUGAAGGGGAAGAAAAAUGAUUAGUCAUCAUACAUGAUGCAACAGGACUGGUUCUCACCACACAGAGCAACAGAGACGUGAUUUUCACCACCUACUUUUACAGUUUCGAUUUCACAACAGCAUAACGCAACAUAUUUUUAAACAUCACCAAAGAACCCAGAAGAUGUAACUCCCAAGGGUAAUAAGUAGUGGGGAUUUAAAAUUUUCAAAGUAAAUUUAAGGGGAAAAGGGAGAUGAUAAAAAGCCACAGCUGUUACUUUACCAAUUAAAUAGGUGCAUCUCAGAAACAAGUAUCACAAGAGUUCAGAUCUUCCCCUGGAUUUUUACAGACCGUAUCUAAAGCACUUGCCCAGCCCUAGUUUUGUUCUCAUUUCCAAAACUGAUUUUGGUUUAAUAGUUUCCCACAUGAAGUACUGGGUCACUUAAAAAGCACAAACAUUCAAACUAAAGAUACAGCGGAUUAUGAACUGAAACCUUAUCAAGGAUACAUGGACUAUUUGCUACCAAACAUACAGUGACGACAGCGGUCACAAGGUUACUACGUUCUUCUUGUCACAACAAGGACAAAAAGGUUAACGGGAAAAACUUCUGCUGUUACUAGUACCAAUCACAAAGACAAGAGAUGUGUUUAAUAAGGCAGGAGAUGACAUGCGGAAUUCCUCUAGAAACCAUUUUCACUCUGCUCAAGUUUUCAAUUGCAAAACCUCAGCUAAGAUGUUACAAACCCAGAAAAGUACAUCUGACCAUCUUAAGUGCACACCAAAAUCUGAAACAUAAUACUUCAAAAGCCCUCAAUUUGGGUAUUUAGAGUCUUAAGACUGCUCGGGAUUCUGCACACAUUCAGAUAAACCACUUUGAAGCUUGCAAAGCGUUGAAAGAUGUUAAUCUGCUGAUGCAAGUUCCUGACACCAGUCUUUCAAGUGACUGAUAACCAGGCUGUUACCUUUUCCAGUCCUCCCCAUCUUGCAAAGCAAAACAAUUUUGCUUUCCUUCCUGCAAUUAAGAGUUCUAAGCAUUUUAGAAAAUUUGCAAGCAACUUUUGUGCUUCCAAGCAACAACUAGCAUUAACAAUUUACUAUUAACUAGUAUUUUCUUCUCCCACGAACUCUACGUAACUCACCAGAGCUCUGCCUAUUGAUAUUUUCUCCAGAAAAUUCCCUCCGACCCACACUCCCAACCACUCCCACCCUACAGAACCCACACCUAAUCACAACCCUCUCCCUUUCUUCCCCCCCUCCCCCUCCCCAGCGCCAGGGCCAAAUCAUCCCCUCCCUCCCAAUCCCUCACCUCGGGGUCCCCUCAUUUGAAGACUAAAAUUACUUUGAAAUCUAAUCAAAUAAAAUUCAAGUUAAAAAGUAUAUAGGGCAAGAUGGAGCAGAGACCACUAUCAGUA
rnacentral:lncRNA from 1 species